GACUCCUUAGCUCAACGGUAGAGCAUUCGACUCCAGAUACUUUCCGGGUUAUCGAAAGGUUGCGUGUUCAAAUCACGUAGGGGUCA